rnacentral:rRNA from 1 species
CCGGCACGGGUGAGUAACGCGUAUGCAACUUGCCUAUCAGAGGGGAUAACCCGGCGAAAGUCGGACUAAUACCGCAUGAAGCAGGGAUCCCGCAUGGGAAUAUUUGCUAAAGAUUCAUCGCUGAUAGAUAGGCAUGCGUUCCAUUAGGCAGUUGGCGGGGUAACGGCCCACCAAACCGACGAUGGAUAGGGGUUCUGAGAGGAAGGUCCCCCACAUUGGACUGAGACACGGCCAA